rnacentral:lncRNA from 1 species
UUUUUUUUUUUUUUUUGGCCGCACCUGAGGCAUGCGAAAAUUGCUGGGCCAGGGGUCAAAUCCGAGCCACAGCUGCAGCAAUGCCAGCUCCUUAACCCACCGCGCCGGGCUGGGGAUUGAAGCUGUACCUUCACAGAGACAACACUGAAUCCUUAACCUGCUGUGCCACAGUGGGAGCUCUGGGCAGGGACCACUUUUAUCUUUUCAUCCAGUGCUGAGCAGGGCGCCUAGAGGCAGCAGUGAAUGUUCAUUGAGAAAACGAAUGAAUCACUUUCUGCCAAAAGCUGGCCUCCCUGAGUUUAUAUGCCCCAGUAACCUUUUGUAAAUGAAACCAUUUUACAUAAUUAGUCAUUUCUAUUCUUCCUUUCUACUAAAGUAAUUUUUUAUUUCCACGUAAAUCUUAUUGUGCCCACGGCCCCCCCACCCCGUGUGACCCCUCCCGCCCCCAGUACCCAACAUAGUUCAUCCUUUGCUUUUCUUUUUUGAUUUUGAAGGGGUGUAAAGUACAAGAUAGAAUAUAAUGUGGCUUCCAUCCCAGGGUUAUUCAACUUGACUGGACUCUUUUAGCCUUCUAGAAUGUUGAGAAAGUAAUUAGUGAGUUGGGGGGAAAGCGUUAAAAGAAGUGGCCCUGAGUCUUUGUAUUGGCAAGAAUGUUUCUCCUUGGCGAUGAGGUCUGCAUUGUCACCCUGCGGAAUAAAUCCUUAAGCAAAGCACAAAAACACCAGCGGCCAAACAAUGGCCAGUGGCUCUCCCUUUGGGGUUGCAAUCCCUUGUAUGGCUAAGUUCAGAAAUGGGUUUCCUGUUCAGAUUUUUGACGAGUCAUAUUGUUGAGUGGCAGGCUCACCUUUGAACUCGCUGUGUUUUGGACAUCAAAAGGAAUUCCAUGCUUUCCCAAAGAAGUUUUAUUCAAGGAAUUAGUAAUCUUAAGGCACAGAGGGAAAUUAGCCUCAGACGUGUGCACAUGAUGGAAAAAUGAGUAUCUUUCAUUUGUUCAAUUUAUUUGCAUUAUGGUUGUUUUGGUCUUUGAAAAUGGGGAGGUCAGAUCUGCCUCGUUUUUCAGUAUGUUGCUUUUAAUACCCGUAGAAUUACUUUUCCUGUGCAAAAUUGGAUUUGAUGAAAGUGGGUUUUUUUGGCAUGACCUGACUUUUCCCCUGAUUCUCCAAUAUCUAAUUGUGUUAAUUUUACUCAUGAAAGAUCUUGACUGUGAGGGACAAGGUUUUAGUAACAUUUUUAUAGCACAUGACAACUUUUAUAGGAAAAAUAUGAAUCAGUAAGUGUAUGUGCUUUUACCAUAACUGCUCUCUUCAUGGAAUUUAAAAUCUUAACUCUUUUUGUUUUGGCAGAAAGUUUUUGCAUGUAGUAGUUUCUUAACAUUGAAUUGAGUCUGUUUGGACUAUUUUUGUUUUCCCCACAUCUAAUUUGUAUUUCAUUGUGUCCUUCAAUACACAGAGUUUUGUUUUGUUUUGUUUUGUUUCCUUUUUUUGUGCAUUGGGAGAUGUAUUAUGCUUAGUUUUCCUAUUCUUAAUUUUUUUUAAAAAAAAUCUAAACAUGCCCAUCACUCACAUUUUCCUAUUUAUGAAUGAGUGAUUUAAAUCUUUCCAGUGUAGUUUGAUCUGACAUGUAUUUAACCAGAGGUCACUAUUUGUUCACUUUUUCUUUUCUGGCUGCGCACAUGAUGUGUUGAUGUCCCUGGGCCAGGGAUUGAACCUGCACACAGAUCCUUGACCACUUGGCCACCAGGGAACUCCCUGACUUUAUUGUCUUAUUUAUCAGUCAUGUUUAGAAAACUGGCUUACAUAUUUAUUAGGUAAAAUGCCUUUCAUAAUGACCUUUGGGGCUGUUUUUUUUUUCCCCCCCAAAGCAGUCUUGACCUAGCAAGGCUUAUUUUGAAAAUCUAAAAAUUACAUAUUUAAUCAGGUGCCUCUUGUCCUUAUACAGAUACACAGUAAGUUAUAUAAAGAAGGGGAACUUGUAGAGUCAAAGGGACUUAAAAGAGAUCACACUUUUUGUUUUUAAAAAUGAGCAAGGCUAAAUCAUCCUGUCUGUGGAGGCAUACUUGGGUAAUAAAACUAUAAAGAAAUGCAAAAUAUGAUGACUCUUAAAACUAGUCCAUAAAUAUGUUGCCAGGAGUGUAUAGAAUGAACACUCAAUUUAUGACAGAAGCAUUUUGGUAUUUUUCAGUGUUCUAAUUUUUAAAGAAAAUGCAAAUAAAAUCAGAUUGCAUGCUAUUUAUUGGUACAGAUUUUUUUUUUUUUUUUGGUCUUUUUUAGGGUCUCACCUGCAGCAUAUGGAGGUUCCCAGGCUAGAGGUCUAAUCAGAGCCACAGCAACAUGGGAUCCAAGCUGCAUCUCUGACCUACACCACAGCUCGUGGCAACGCUGGACCCUUAACCCACUGAGCAAGGCCAGGGAUCAAACCCAUGUCCUCAUGGAUUCUAGGUGGGUUCAUUAACCACCAAGCCAUGACAGAAACUCCCAGUACAGAUUUUAAUUGUAGCUAAUGGGACAGUGCUGUGUUCUUAACAAAAAUAUAAGGAAUAUUUUCAGAGGUGUGGACCUUACAGAGAUAACUACGUAGAAAGGUGACUUUAUUUUGUUGAAUCGUGAAAUGAACUUAGGGCUUUAUUUGCUGUUCAUUACUAGCCUCUCUGUUGUUAACUCUGGUUUUAUUGCUUAUAAUUAGGACCUAAGUCUGCUGCUGAAUUCUGCUUGAUUUUGGGAUUUCUUUUGCUUUGUUCAUUCAUUCUCUAAAUAUUGGACAGCCUCACAAUUGCCAUGCCUUGCGCUGGGGCUACAGGGAUUCAACACAAGGGAGCCCUGCUUCUGAGGUUCUCCCAGGACAGAGUUUUGAAUAGUAGGUAAAAAUAAGGAGUACGGAUGCCUUAUUUUGGCUAUGAAAGUGUAUGGAGCCCCCCAGAGAUACCAUUCCUGGGGUAUGCAUUUCGUCCCUCUUUGCUGGGACUCUGCCCACAGUGGUCUCUGUUGAAUCUUCACUAGGGAAGCCUCUUGGCUGGAUCCUGGGGGUUGUGCAGAGUCUGGUGGUGGUGGUGGAAGGCUUGAGAAAGCCUGAAGCUGGAAGCUCACCGCUCAUGGGUGGCCUUUUCCCUGUACAACAGUAUAACCUUGACAUUCCUAGCAUACUACCUUGAAAGACAGUUUUUUGCCUCCGAAGGAAUUUCGGACCUGUUAGGAAUCAUUUGUUUAUAUUCUCUUUCAAGAUAAAAAUCAAAAAUGCACUUUGGGGAAGAAAAAUGAACCUGUUUAACGGCAACAGGUAUUGUUUCUUUCACUGAACGUUCUUUCACUGAAUGUUCUGUCUGGAAACUGAUUUUUCAUCUCCCUUCCCUGCUCUCUAGUUUCUAAAAGGGGGACAGUCGGAACAUCGCUUUCUAGACAUUUAAAUAAAAACAAUCCCCAGCGUGAACUCUAUAUCAGGUCUUUAAUUAUUUUUAUUAUGAUGCUGAUGCUCUUUUUAUUUUCUUAAUAAUUGUUGACCUCCUGCCUAUAUCAGGUCAAACAGAAAUUACUGUACAAUUUCCAUUUGGUUGCACAAUGUCGUAAUCCAGUUACAAAAUGAAAGUAAUUUCAGUAAAUAAUUGAUUUUUCUCAAAGAGAGUCGUCUCUAGCUCCUAAAAAUUCCAUCGAACCUUCAUUCAUCAGAUGCUUCCGUAUAACAGGAGCUCACGUUUCCCGAGCACUUCCUCUAUGACAAACAUUAGGCCUCCUGGGAAAUCUACAAGGCACCCAAACUGCUCGUGAGAGUGAGCCACAUAGCUCUUGGCCUCCAAGAGCUCAAAGAUGGAGAAUAUUUUGUGGGGAGAGAGGCCAAGACAGACACAUUCGCAGGAGGAAUAAUUACUGCGUGGUGAUGGAAGUGCCUAGACUUUGAACAGAGAGGGACGCAUGGAAAGCUUUUUUCAUGUUUACGUUUAUUGUUAAAAUUCAUCCAAAGCAGCUAGUCAUCCCUACCUUGUCUGGAAUGAAAGUCCCAAGUGACUACAGUGGGACAGUGUUUAGAAUUCUAGGACUAACAGUGUUUCCUUUCCCUGCUGGAACGGGAAUGUAAAGCCGACAGUGAAAUCAGUUCUUCAAAAGAGGAUAGGAUGGAUACCUGGCAUUUCUAUUUAAGAGCAGCCAAGUCGUCUGUGUUUAGGGGACUUGGGGAUCCUCCUAAUUCCCGUGUUAUUGACUGGUGACUUUUGUACCAGGAUCUUUGGGGAUCAUUUUAUGUAUUGUUUCAGCAAUAUGCUUUUCUAGCCCAUGAAGGAUGCUAGUGGGGCUCUAUAAACCUAUCCUCAACCGAAAGCAUAACCUUGGCUGUAUUUAUUUUCUCUUUUCAGUAUACAAAGUGUAAAAGAACACAGAAAAAUUACCCCCUACAGUACAAAUAACAAUUUCUUCUUCCAAAGGUACUUCUUUGUUUAAAUAAGGAGAAACUUGGGUCCUUAGUAACAUUAUUUAGUAUCCAACGCCCCCUCAUUACAAACAUUUCCAUGCCUCCUGGUGUACUCCUGGGGCUUCCUUAAAAUGCAUGAAUUGGGAUCUCUUCCUUUUGCAUGGCCAAAGUGUGCUAGUGGAGACACAACACUGCUGAGGUUCCUAAAAGUACAGAUGCUUGGGUCCAGUCAAGUCUUGAUACCGGUUAGAAUGCCGUGGCUCUGUCCUUUGUAAGAUGCAAACACUGCACAGCCUGGUCUCUCAGUGCCCAAGAGAGACUUUGGCUGCUUUCUGAAGAUUCUCUUGCAGAUGCAACUGGAAAGAUGUCGCAGCUAAAAGAGAUGAUUGGCUUUCCAUUUUCUUGGUCGAGAUAAAUCCGUUUCAAGAAUUCAGACCUCAGGUUAAGCAUGGCUUAAAACAGUGGCUUGUGUCAAAUUAUUAUUAUUAUUAUUUGGCUUUUUAGGGCUGCAUGUGAGGCAUACAGAGGUUCCCAGGCUAGGGGUUGAAUCAGAGCUGUAGCUGCUGGUCUACACCACGGCCACAGCAAUAUGGGAUCUGAGCCACAUCUUUGACCUACACCGCAGCUCCCGGCAACGGCAGAUUGUUAACCCACCGAGGGAAGAGAAAAAAAUGUCCUUUAGGAGUGUGGGGUAAUGGAAACCCCAUAUCCCUAUGGUGUUUUAUUAUAGUCAGUGGAAAUGAAUGGAUGGUAUCCACACCUAGGGGAAUGGAUCUAAAUAAAACCAUAGCCCGCCCCCCUCUCCCUGAGAAUCCCAACCUCCUGUGGUCCAGAUUUUCAGAUUCCUCCCAAUUUGCCCCAGAGCGUGCUGUGACCCUCAUCCAUCUUUUUUGCAUUUAACAAAGUUGUAAAGGGAUUUAUAUGCUUUCCAUUAGUCUUAGCAAAGCUGCUGUCAUGAAUAUUUAAUAGCAAGCACAGUUUGUUUUCUUUUUCUUUCUUUCCCAGUCCCUCCUCCCCCAUCUCCCUUGGCUCGCCUUUUGCCAACUAGGAGCAAUGUAAAUAUCACAGCCCCACACCCCUGGCCAGGUCCCAGUGUGGCCCUGGGCUCUCUCAAGUCAAAAUCUUGGCGCUGCAAGGCAAGGGCUAGCUUUUUUGUUUGUUUUUUUGUUUUUUCCUUUUUAUGCAUCUUUUUCCCUUCCUCGUUCUCUUUCAAUCUCCCCUCCCCUCUGGAACUGAGGUCCGAUUCUAGGGGGCUCCUUGUUGCUUGGGGACCAGUGCGUGCGGGGCUCUGCCUCCGUCGGAUGUCCUGAGCCCUCUUCUCAAGCUGCAGCCCAGCUGCACCCCUCCCCCACCCCCAGUCGCCUUGGACGGUCUUUUCCUUUGAACUUCACUGAGGCACAAUAGCUACCCUGCAACUUUGCUGGGGCUCCCUCGGAUGCAUUCCUGACACUUGCACGGGUCGCUGGUCCCUUUCUCUUUGCAACAGCAAAAAGGAUGAAUGUCUGGGACAGAAAAUGACUUUUGAAGAUGCUAAAAGAUUUACUGGGUCCGGAGCAACCUCUGAACUUUGUGGUGAUUGUCUCAGAAAAAUGCACUUUUCCUAUUGGUGGCUUAGAUCAUCUCCCUUCCUUCUUCCCUCCUUCCCUUCCUCCCCUCAUCCCAGCAUUUAUUUAGGAAAUUUCCCCAUUUCGUUCUCACUGGGUGCCCCCCUCCAUCCCUUUCCCUUUUUCUUUCAUGCUUUGUCUCCUCCUGGCUCAUGGAGUAAGAGGCCCAUAAAGGUGAGGAUGGGAGGGAAAUGAUGGGUUAAAUCCUUCUCUGCAGAGAAGGAUGAGGGCAGCAGUGAAGCCCCAGUAGCUGGAGUGCCCCGGCCCCCAGUCAAACCUGCCUGAAUGGUUGAUCUACAGGUACCUGCCCUAAAGGAUUGUUUGCAAGAUUAGAGGAAGACAUCCAUACAAAAUGUUUGACAUAGUAUUUGACUAUAGUAAUGGCUCAAUAAAUAUCAGCUAUAUGUUAUAAUGAAUAUUAUUGUACACAUUUCCUCAUUUUUCUGAAAUCCCUCCUUGUGGUCUCAAAAAUUCUUGUGGGUUGUAUAUCUUUCCCAUAUAAU